GCAUGGCUGAAUACUGUGUUCUUUUUACCGAUAAUUUAUAUAGCCAGACACCAUGUCAAAAAAAAUAGAGCUGUCCUCCAUUUAAAAUGGUUAUGAUGGUAUGCUAAGCUUUUUUCAUAGCAUAUCAUUACUAAAGGGAAAAACAGAU
ensembl:snoRNA